CCCUUAGAUGUUCUGGGCCGCACGCGUGCUACACUGAGUGGAUCAGCGGGUCAGGUUGCGCGAAAGCGUUUCCUAAUCUUUAAAUCCGCUCGUGAUGGGGAUUGACGGUUGCAAUUUUCUGUCAUGAACGAGGAAUACUUUGUAAGCGCGGGUCAUCAUCCCGCGCUGAAUACGUCCCUGCCCUUUGUACACACCGCCCGUCGCUCCUACCGAUUGAGUGGUCCGGUGAGGCUUUGGGAUCUGAGCGGAAAGAGCGUUUCGCUGUUUCUGCUCGGAAAACUCAGUCGAACCUUAUCAUUUAGAGGAAGGAGAAGUCGUAACA
rnacentral:rRNA from 1 species